rnacentral:rRNA from 1 species
GAUGAACGCUGGCGGCGUGCCUAACACAUGCAAGUCGAGCGAACGGACGAGAAGCUUGCUUCUCUGAUGUUAGCGGCGGACGGGUGAGUAACACGUGGAUAACCUACCUAUAAGACUGGGAUAACUUCGGGAAACCGGAGCUAAUACCGGAUAAUAUUUUGAACCGCAUGGUUCAAAAGUGAAAGACGGUCUUGCUGUCACUUAUAGAUGGAUCCGCGCUGCAUUAGCUAGUUGGUAAGGUAACGGCUUACCAAGGCAACGAUGCAUAGCCGACCUGAGAGGGUGAUCGGCCACACGGGAACUGAGACACGGUCCAGACUCCUACGGGAGGCAGCAGUAGGGAAUCUUCCGCAAUGGGCGAAAGCCUGACGGAGCAACGCCGCGUGAGUGAUGAAGGUCUUCGGAUCGUAAAACUCUGUUAUUAGGGAAGAACAUAUGUGUAAGUAACUGUGCACAUCUUGACGGUACCUAAUCAGAAAGCCACGGCUAACUACGUG